UUGCGAAACCACUGGGCAUAUUCGCCCGGCAGCUGAGUGAGUUCAGUACCACCACAGAUGACAGCCGUAUCAGCAUAGACGUCAGGCCAGCAGACAGCGUGGUGAAGUGUCAUAUGGAGCAUAAACCGAGAAAAAUCGACAAGAACUAUAGACCUGCUUUGCAUGUGAAGUUAACACUAAGUGAAUUUCGUUAAUUUAUGGAUGUAACUACUGAGUGAAUUUAUUAUAAUAACUAUUCGUAAACAGCCGUGAGAGUCAGAAACCAAACUGAAUUGUAAAACCUAGCUAAAACUAUUAGUACGGUUAUAAGUAGUACGGCAGUUAGUUUACUCUUAAUCAGUAGUCCACGCAAAUACCAGUUACAUGCAAGACAGUACGUGCAAACACAAAAGAAAUCAGUUCGGACAAGACACAACAAAGAAGAAAACGAAAAUGUAAGGUAAUAAUACAUAUCAUUGGACGCAACUGAUUAAAUUUAAUAUAUUUCAGCUUUGAAGCUGCGUGUUAGCUGCUAUCAAAAUCGUUUCCCUUCCCUGUCCGAACAAUCUUCAAAGAUUUUCCGCCGGAUCAUGGAUAGCAGAAGUGGAAAACACUGUGCCAAAUGCGACCGACCGGACACAGUGGAUAACCUCGUCGGAUGUGACACUUGCGAGACAUGGAUGCACUUUGGCUGUGCGGGAGUAACGGAUUCAAUCGCAGAUCCGAAUCGAACCUGGAAGUGCAAUCGAUGUCGCCCGCAGGUGGAAGGCUCCGUUUGCCAUUCGUCAGUUGGUCGUUCGUCAGCAAGUCGUCGUUCAUCCCGUAUAGAACUCAGUCUGAGAAUGCUGGAGGAGCAAAAGGUAAUCAGGAUGAGGAUUCUGGAAGAGGAGGCAGCUCAGGUGGCAG